CCUACGGGGUGCUGCAGUGAGGAAUAUUGGUCAAUGGACGAGAGUCUGAACCAGCCAAGUAGCGUGAAGGAUGACUGCCCUAUGGGUUGUAAACUUCUUUUAUAAAGGAAUAAAACGAGGCACGUGUGCCUUUUUGCAUGUACUUUAUGAAUAAGGAUCGGCUAACUCCGUGCCAGCAGCCGCGGUAAUACGGAGGAUCCGAGCGUUAUCCGGAUUUAUUGGGUUUAAAGGGAGCGUAGAUGGGUUGUUAAGUCAGUUGUGAAAGUUUGCGGCUCAACCGUAAAAUUGCAAUUGAUACUGGCAGUCUUGAGUACAGUUGAGGUAGGCGGAAUUCGUGGUGUAGCGGUGAAAUGCUUAGAUAUCACGAAGAACCCCGAUUGCGAAGGCAGCUUACUAAACUGUGACUGACAUUGAUGCUCGAAAGCGCGGGUAUCGAACAGGAUUAGAUACCCGAGUAGUC
rnacentral:rRNA from 1 species